GAGACAAGAGUCUUCCUUGCUCACCCAGGCUAGAGUGCAGUGGCACAAUCUCAGCUUACUGCAACCUCUGCCCCCUAGGUUCAAGAGAUUGUCUUGCCUCAGCCUCCCUAGUAGCAGGGACUAUUGCCACCACACUGGCUAAUUUUUGUAUUUUUAGUAGAGAUUAGGUUUCGUCAUGUUGGCCAGGCUGGUCUGGAACUCCUGGCCUCAAGUGAUCCACUUACCUCAGCCUCCCAGAAUGCUGGGAUUAUAGGCGUGAGCCACUACACCCAGCCUAACUGUAUCUCAUAUACCCAUCUCCUCCUUUUCAUUUAAGUCUAAUGCAGGUCCCUCCCUGUCUACGUAGGACUAACACAAUAGCAUCUCCACAGGGAUCACUCAUCUCAAAUUCAUCCUGUGCAACAUUAACCAGUUAAUUUUCCAAAGCACUACUCUGGGGCACUUCCUUAAUAAAAAACCACCGGAUGUUUUCCUAUUGCCUACCAAAUAAAGUACAAACUCCUUAUUCUAGCAUUUGGUAUUCAUGAACUCCAGCCCCAACUUACCGUUCCAAUCUUAUCUCCCACUACUUUCCUAUGCACACUUUACAUCCCAGCUAACUAGCCUAGAAAGUGCCCCCAAAUGCUCCCUUAUCUAUAUCUCUGUUUAUGGAUGUCCUCUGCCCAAAAUGCACACCCUACUUGCCUAACAAUUCUCCCUUCACAUUCCUGCCCUUGUUUUAAGAUCCAGCUUUCAAACGCUACCUUAUACAUGUACCAAGCACUACUGAGGAUAGAAGAAAGGGAUAAAUCACAUUACCUGCCAUCAGUUAGCAAAAUAGUCAAUGUGGAGAGCUCAGCAAUAGAUGUGUCUGUAAGAGAUCCCUUGAUUCUUUAUCCCACUCCCCAAACUUACUCGUAUGGCAGUGUUUCCAUCCAAGUUAAUGACACUUCCAAUCUUCUAGGUAUUCAGGUCAAAAACCUAGUAGUCUUGCUUAAUUCCUUUAUUUCUCUAACCCCACACCUCUCUCACCCACACACAAAUGUUUAAUUCAUCAGCAAGUCCUUCCAAAUAUUAUCCAACCCAACAUUUUACCACCUUGGUCCAGGUCAUUAUCUCAUUUGCAUUACUGCAAUAACCUCCUAAUUUGUCUCUGUACUUCCAUUCUUGCCUUCCCAAGUGCUUUUCUCUAAGAAUAAAUAAGACAGUCAUGUCUCUCACAGAAUAUAAUCCCAAAUGUGGAGCCUAACUAUUAACAGGAGCAUACAUUACUUCACAUUAGAGUACCGCAUUCUGCAGAAUCCUAAGCUAAUUUUCCAGUGUCCCUUAGAGAUACUUACAACAGAAGGCCCCAAAAUCCAGAGAGGCAAAGUUUAAUCACAGUUGAACGAUUACUGUUAAAGACUAGGGAAGAAGUAACAGAAAGUAGCAGAAAGAACAUGGGCUUUAGAGUCAAACAGACCCAAAUGUUAACCCUAAAUCUGACACUUUAUUCGUUCCAUGACUUUCAACCACAGAAUUAAAAUGGUGAUGAUUAUAAUAAUAAUACCAAAAUUAAUGUGGAAUAUUUGCAAUUUCCCAAGCUAAUAAAUGUUAGUCUGAUGCCAAAAACUACUCUCAUAAGGUGAUUUAAUGAAAUGAUACAACAAAGUUAAGGGAAGAGUAAUUGACAGUGUGGAAAACAUAUUUAUAUUUGAUGAGACACUUAAGUUCUACUGCCUGUUCAACAAUAGAGCAUCUAAAGUACAAGAUGCUGUUUUGUUUAUUGUUUUAGUCACUUCUCGGGACCAAAAUAUUACACAACUCCAAAUGUCACCAAUCACAUUAUAAUCUAUAAGUUUCAGUAAUAGAGUCAAGGUAUCUUUAAGAUCAACUAACAGUAGGCCGGGCGCGGUGGCUCACAUCUAUAAUCCCAGCACUUUGGGAGGCCGACGCAGCAGUCUUGUGAAGCUUCUGGAAUGGUGAUGUCAGGGGUUUUAUUAUCCUAGCUCACCAGCAGUUCAUGGAGACUUGUGAUCCGGGAUUUGGCAAUGUGACACAUACCCAGUACUCACUGAGCUAAGAAAAGAGAGACACAAACACGUCUGAGCCGGCCAGUGACUUGUCAUGGUCUUGUUUCACUAGCUUUCUGUCCACACCCAAUGGCACCCACCCCCACCCCUGUUCUCUGAAGCUGGUACAGAGUCAGGAAUCCCAAGCAGGCACGCGGGGUGGGGGGAGGAUGGGAGCCGGCGUAGUGUGCCCC
rnacentral:lncRNA from 10 species